CAUUUGUUUUGUGUCAGAAACUCAUAUUAUGUUAAAAAAAAUUGAUCGCAAUCCAAAUUCAAAGCUGUAUCAAGCUUGAAUGUUGUGUCCAUACUUGCCCCAACUGUUCAGGGUUCGACUUGUGCCGUCGUAUAAAGCUGCGCCCUUCGAAGCACCUGGUUACCCAUGAAAUCCACAAAUAUUGGUAUCCAACGAAAUAAUAAUAAAUCCACAGUAUAUUUUUUCGACAGUAACUGCCACCCACAAUUAAAAAAGAAUGAUUAAUUUAUUAUUGUGUCUUUUCUAGGUAUAUAUGCCAACAGACAAGCCAUCAGGGAACAUAUCAGCAAGGAUACAGAGAUCACGAUUAUCAAAACUUUAAAGACAGAUUUAAAUGAUAUAUUUCAGACAAUCUUAGAGUCAAAGUUAAAAUAGGGCCAAUAUUUAUAGAAUUUGUUAUAAUUCAAAAUAGUAUGUUAUGAUAAACUUUUAGAUCUGAUAGUUUAGAAUGUUAUAAAUUGAAUUACCUUUAUCUAUAUUGUGAAAUAAGAUUGUUACCUAUUUGUAUAUUGGAUUACCUCUUAUAAAUAAUGUUAGUCAAAAUCUUAAGUUUAGUUAAAGCGUUAACAGUUUUCAGAUUGUGUAUUAACUUAACUGCCAGUAUUUAUAUUUGUAAGUAACUUUAUUUUUCAUAUCUGAAUAUUUACAAUUUUGUGAAUUUGAAAAACAUCUACCAAUAAUUGUAUUGUGAAAUUCAAUUCUUUUUCUUUUAUGAUUUUUCUGAAGAAAAAAAACCACUUUAAACUUGCUCUACUAAAAGGGUGAAUAUAGAAGUGUGCUUUUGAAGAAUUACAGCCAAUUCCAUUGAGUGUGUAGGAUGUAAUAUCUUUGGUUAGCUUGCUUACUAGCUGAACUGUGAAGUCAUUCUUAGGUUAGGUAAACUGUACUACUUUAAGAGUAAACUAGUCUGACAGCUAACCAAUCUAUCUGUCUGUUGGACUAGGCUAUUUCGAAAGGAGGGUAGUAUACUUGACCUUAUAUUGACUUCACGGUUCAGCCAGCAAGCAAGCUAACCAAAGAUUAACCAUUGCCUACACACUCAAUGGAAUCAGCUGUAAUCAUAAUUGAUAAUUGAUAUUUGGAGUGGAUAUGUUUAUAAGUUCUUGUAAUGUAUUAUUCAUUCCCAUAUUUGACAUAAGCAGCAAUGAAAUGUUAAGCAAUGCAGUCAUAUGGCAUAGCAACAAAAAACGAUUGGUUUUUAUGUCUUUUUUUUUUUUUAAUUUUGCUUCAAAGCUAGUAAAAUACACAGCUUACAUAAUUUUUAGAUGAGUCAAAAUUUUCUUAGUUCACAAAUCUUGGAUUUUGCUUCUGUCUCAUGGAUACUUCUUUGUAACAUUGUUAGAUGUUUCGAAUGAUGUAGUAACUAGUCUAAAUGUGCAAUAAACAAUACCACAAUGUUAAUGAAACUAACUAUUGUAGCUGAAUGUUAUUGUAUUUGGUUUGUUUACAUUAUACAUUUAUGUGAUUGUGCAUGCUGACUAAUAUUACAUUACAGUAUUUCAUAAUAAUGAUCAUAAUCUUAGGCAAAUAAUACACCUGUGUAUUAAAUUGUGAAAGUUACUCUUUUAAAUAUAUUUUAUAUGAUCUUUCUUUGUUUUUGUAAACCUUUACAUAUCUGUUAAGUAUAUUUUUUUAUUAUGUUCAAUAUGAUCAAUUUUAUUGUUUAUUUGGAAUGAAUUUGUCAAUUUUCAAAUUUAAAGGAGGAAGAUGUAGUACUCAGUGAAAAGCACCACCCUUUGGCAGGAAAAUUGGUGGUUGAGUGGUCUGAGUAAUCAAAUUACUUUAUCACUAGGGUGUCAACACUGAUGUUGUGAGUUCGAAUCCCACACUGUGUAGGUUCACUGAUCUCCAGUUUUGAUUAACUAGGAUUGUCAGUUUUCUUACUGAGUUUUGUGGUUCUCUCUGGGCACUCCAGCUUCCUCAACCAAUAAGAAUUGACCUCCAUGAAUAGUGUUGAAAGUGGUGUUAAAUACCUAUCAAUCAAGCAAUUAAUCAAUUAAUCAGAGAUGUGGGAUGUUUAUAGAUGUGAUUCUUUGGAAUAUAAUGUUUUGUAUAUUGUUGUUAAAGAGAUUACUAGCUUUACAAUUUACCAGAAUGUAUCAACUCCACAAAGUGUAUCAAUAUUCCAGAAGUGCUAUUUUACUAUUAAAAAUAAAUUUGAUUUUUGGUUUGUUUGUUAUCAAUGAACUUUUUUAAAGGUUAUCUAUCAUUGAUACAUGUUCUUACAAUGGUAAUCCAAAACCGACUACAAUUCAAAUCCGCCACCAAAUCACAACUUCUUUUAAAAAAUAAACCUACACCAAGACAAACCGCAAAGAAACAGUAAAACAAAAAUAAUGAACUCCAAAGAAAUUCAAAAAGGAAAGUCCCUUAUAAAAUUGCAAAAUCAAAAACUCAAGCACACCAAACAAAUGGAAAGCAACUGUCUUAUUUCUAACUUUGUACAGACAUUUCUAUUUCUGUAUGUAGAAAUUGAUGGAUUAAACUUGACUGUUUAAAAAAAUCCCCAUUUUUAUUCUGAUCUAAUACAAUCACUUGAUUUUGAAAAGUAAAUUCUCAGCUUUAUUAUUCCUUGUUUUACAGAAGUCUUCCAUCAGUCAUGAAGAUGAUAUUCAUUGUCGUAUACCUCAUUUUAAUGGUUCAGUGACUGCUUUAAAGAAAAAUACAAUUUUUAUGUCGUGAUUUUCCUACUUGCAUGUAACUAUAUUUGUUAUAUGAGUACUUUACAAGGUCUUCAUAUCCAUCCUACAGUAAUAAACUGACCUCUUCCUCAUUUCUUGGAUUAGCGAUCAACAUUAAUGUCUCACUAUAUGGUUUGUUUCUUACAUAGUCUA
rnacentral:lncRNA from 1 species